ensembl:lncRNA
GUCUGUUUGGGUCUGUUCAUUUAAGAUGGCGUGGCUGUGUUUCAUGUUUUUCCUGACUACAUUCAUGGGUGUCAGUUCUGAGGAACUUAAUCCACUGAACAUUUUUGAAAACUGUUUAGAGGGAACCUCUGUCAUCCUGUCUUACAAGUACUCCAGAAAAGCAACUGGUGGGGAUACAUUUUUUUGGUAUCGUCAAAACCCAGCUCAAAAGCCAGAGCCCCUGCUGUAUAUCUUAGGUUCUGAUGAUGAAACUAAAGUAGAUACUCUGAAUUCAAGAAGGUCAGUUAAAAUGAGUAAAGAGAGAACCCAAGUGGAUCUGAUAAUCUCCUCAGCUGAAGUGACUGACUCUGCUCUGUACUACUGUGCUGUGAGGCCCACAGUGACAGGAAACCCAGACACCCUGUACAAAAACCUCAACAGGGACUUUCAGCAUGGAUUCACAAUGGUUUUGUAGGAUUUCUGUUUCAUCCAAAAUGCUUAGACAUUAAAAGAAUAAUACACACUGGCAAUAUGUAUUCAAAAAAUAUAUGUAUUAUUUAAGCUCUGCUUAAUUUGAUUUGAUCAUUGACAAUGCAAAUUUUAUGGGUAUUGAUAUUUUGCUAGUCCCAAAAUGUACACCUUCUAGACCAAGGCAGGUGUGGACGGUGACAGUGGAGAUCUAAAGAAUGUUUGGAGACAGUUUUGACCAAAGCAGACCAGGAGAUGAAUCAGACCCUAGUACCCAAGAAGAAGGAAAGGGCAACAUCGGUUGGGGCUUACAGGGGAGUGGGAUAGAAAGAACAGUAAAAUGGAGAAAAUGAAAAAGGAGAAAGACAGAUGGGUGAUAGAGAAGAAAUGUUGGAGAGGAUGAAGGAUGCACACAUACAGCUGUAUCACAUGUAGACUGUCCUGAGGUUCAGAGAGAAAGGAUGCACACAUACAGCUGUAUCACAUGUAGACUGUCCUGAGGUUCAGAGAGAAAGGAUGCACACAUACAGCUGUAUCACAUGUAGACUGUCCUGAGGUUCAGAGAGAAAGGAUGCACACAUACAGCUGUAUCACAUGUAGACUGUCCUGAGGUUCAGAGAGAAAGGAUGCACACAUACAGCUGUAUCACAUGUAGACUGUCCUGAGGUUCAGAGAGAAAGGAUGCACACAUUCAGCUGUAUCACAUGUACUGAUAUUUUACUUUGGUACCAAAACCACCCUGGAUCAAAACCAGAAUUAUUGCUCCUCAUCAGUGAAGGAGAGAAAAAGGAAUAAACCCAUUCUGGACUGUCUGUUAAACUAAAUUAACAGAAGACCCAGGUGGAUCUGGAGAUCUCCUCUGCUGAAGUGACAGACUCUGUUCUGUACUACCGAGCCCUGCAGCCCACGGUGACAGAAACCCAGAGACAGUGUACAAAAGCACUACUGUAUGUUAAGGUGGGAUUAAUAGUAGACUACGGGCUGAACAUCUGAAAUGACAUAGAAACAAG